CUUUUGUAUUUUGUUUAGGUUAAUCAAGUCUUACUUAGUGUCUUUUGUAGGGAUCUAAAGAUAAUCUUGACUACGUUGGGGGGAGAAUCAAUUUUGAAAAAACUUCUGGAUCAGGUAACAUCUCUCCUUUUCUUUCUCUUUGCAUGCACCCUUCAUUUUUUCUACUCUAUUGAGGAUAAUGUCGAUUAAGUUGGGGGGAAAGA
rnacentral:lncRNA from 1 species